CAUCAUGGCAGCACCCCGCUUUUGGAUUUACCCAUAAACAUGAUCAGUGCAUUUCCCAUCGAUUACAUGCACCAGGCAUGCUUGGGUGUAAUGAAGAGGCUUCUCUUCAUGUGGUGCAGAGGAGUGAAGGGCCUGAAGAUGUCGGCAACCCAAAUAGAGGAGGUCAGCAGCAGGCUCACCAACCUCCGUCCACACAUCCCUUCCAGCUUCGCUCUUAAACCGAGAGAUCUUAAAGAGCUUGAGAGAUGGAAGGCAACGGAACAUAGGCAGUUUAUGUUAUAUACAGGAAAGAUUGUGCUGAAGGGGGUCCUUAAAGAUGAAUUUUUCAGCCACUUCAUGACAUUCAGUGUGGCAAUGAACAUACUUGUAAGUCCAGCAUUGGUCGAGCAACACUGGAGAUAUGCUGCUGAUCUCCUCCGAUUCUUUGUUGAGAGAGGCUGAGAACUUUAUGGUAACCAGUUUCUGGUCUACAACGUGCACUCAAUGUUGCACAUUGUGGAGGAUGCCGUGACCUUUGGAGGAUUGGACAAUUGUAGCGCUUUUAAAUUUGUAAAUUGUCUCAAGAAAAUAAAGAGGAUGGUAAGGAGUGGAAGAUGCCCCCUGUCACAAGUGGUGAAAAGGCUUGAGGAAUGCGCUGGACAGCCAAUGGAGCAUGGUAGGCAGAGGUCCAAUUCUUCUUUUAUUUUGAAUCGCCGCGAAUGCUGCGAGGUCAUAGAGGAGAGGGACGGAAGCCAGCUUUGCCGUGUAUACCAGCACCCAGAACCACUUUUCAGUGUCCCUUGUGACUCCACAUUAAUCGGAGUACUGAAGUACAAGAACAAUGACACCGUUUUGAGAUGGAUCCAAAAUGACAACCUGAAAAGAAAGGCAAUCAAGAUUCCUGUGGGGGAAAAAAUCCUCUUCAUGGCCAUUCUUCAUGACAUUGCAGUAUGUUGUAUUUUGCUCAGUGUAUUAUCAUUGCAAUUUCUUGUACAGACACAAUUAUUCUUUACUGUAUUAAAUUAACCUCUCUGUUCUUGAUUACAGAAUGUAUAGCAUCGUCAAAUUUUUGGGGGAAAGGACUGUUGGCAUAGUGGCCAGUAAUUGGAUUAUAAAAGAGGGAGAUGUAAGUACAUGCGAAAAACCUUUAUGUCAAUCAUUUCAAAAAUUCUAUGCAAGUUCUGCAAAACUAUUUUGUUUUCCAUUUCAGAAGACAUGCAGCUACUGGCCACUCCACAAGCCCACACAGAGGGCAAAGGACAAAGAUUUGCCCGAUCCUAAAACCUGGCUAAAAAGGCCAAUAAAAAUAUUUGUGUGUUAAUGUGUGUUAAUGGGCGACAAAUAAAUAAGUGGUGACAUGCAACACAUUUAAAAGAGUGUAAUUUCUAAUUGUUUUGGCCCACCUGACUGUUUAGAUGAUUGGGAUCAGGCCGUCAGGAGGAACAAGAGGGCGGAGACAAAGUCCUGUGUGGAGACAGGAAAUGAGGACAUAGGGAGGCGCAUCAUAGUCAAACCCCAAAAAUGUGAAAAGAGAACAAAGAAACGAAAUGGGAAAAAGGCAGGACAAGGUCCACAUUUCAGGACUUCCCUUCCUCCUCCACCCCAGAUAGAAUCCCCCAUUCCACGGCGUAGCGCACUACAAAUAUCUUCACCCCCUGUGACUGAUGACGGUAGAGUUUUGCAAGGGAAUGAUGGUUAAAAACAAAUACAAAUAAUUGCAUAGAAGUCAAGAAGACACUAUGUUUCGAAACAAAAACACAUAACCUAAAUUCUUAUCUUGUUCUUUCUGUAGAUUACUCCCCUCCUUCACCGGCAAGAGACGUUUUUACAGAAAAUGAUGGUAAAGUUAUGCAUGGUAAUGAUGACGAAUGAUGAUGACAUAACAGUAAUUCUAUGAGCCAAGACAACAAAGAGUUUGAAACCAAAAAAAAACAUUGAAUUAUUAUUUUGUACUUCCUGCAGAUGAUUCGAUUGCGUCUUCAUUUGAAACGCCAUUGCCUAUCUCUACUGGGGACGGUAAAGUGGCGGGUGGAGAGGGUGGUUAAAACCAAACUAGUAACUCUUAUCAACAGGUUAUGACAGUCAUCUGUCUAUACUAACCCUACACAUUAUGCUUUAUACACAUUACUUAGGUGACCGAAGAGAGAGAGAAACCAUACCAAUCUGGGCAAAGGAAUAUCAACGGUAAUACAUGUAUUGAACUGUAUUGCACUGUAUGCAAAUGACACCAAAUACUACUAAAUACACUCCUCUCAUCUCAACAUAAUUUUUUUUACAGCGACAUUGGAGGUUCUGCUCCUGUUGGGCAAAAUAACCUGCUGAGUACAUCACAUGUACAUUAUAAAUAUAGCUAACUCCUACCCUAGCUUAAUGAGCACAUCACAUGGCAGUCACCUUAUAAUAUAGUCAACUUUUAACACAUAACACAUACAUGAGAAUAUAGUCAGGUCAGGGCCGGAGCCAGGGCCCCAUUUCUCC
ensembl:lncRNA